rnacentral:lncRNA from 1 species
UUGAAGAAGACUGACAUUAAGCAUUCAAAAUUGGGUUGCUUGGAUUACAAGUUACAAGUCUGAGCUUUACAAUAAGAGAAAAUCAUUACAAAAAUAUUUUCAAAAUGAGAAUUACAGGGAAAGAUCAAUUGUUGACUAUUGACCUAAAAUUUGACUCUUGACUUUAAAGUCCUAAAAACUAUCCCACUCCAAUCUUCAAUCUUUCAUCUUCUUAAUUUGUUUUCAGGGCCAUGCCAACCAUGUCAAGCACACGCCUAAGUAAACCUGCAUAACAGAUCAACUCCAAUAUCAGUGCAGUGCAAACCAGUUCAAUUAUUAACUAAAUAAAAUAUCUCUACAUUUCAUAUUUUGUCUUAACAUUAACACUUCAAACAAGCUAGAAAGACUCCAAUUCACAUAGCAUGAUAGUUGCAUUCAUAUCUACAUGUUAUUUUCCACAAUCAGCCUCCUAACAUCAUAAUCAAUUGUUUAUUAACAGUGUCGUGAUUUCAACAUCACAUUAACAUUAAAACUGUCCCUAAUGCUAACCUAUACAUCACAUCCAAAGCGCUAAUCUCACUCUACCUUUCAUUAACAUAAUUACAGGGCAAACAACUGGGACUUCAAACCAUUUAUAUGAGGACCCUAUUGUUCCUAACUAACAUAACCUCAAAUAACAUCCAAUGCAAGCUCUAACAUACAUUCACCAACAGUCAUGAAUCCAUGGCAUAUGCAUUAACCAUAAUAGCCUUGAAACCAAUCCCAAAUAACAUAAACAUACAACCAAAAUCACACUAACAUGUCAACAUUAACAUAGCAGUCCAAACAAACUUCAAGCAUAACACAUCAUCAUAUUAAAUUUUAGCAAAGGCAUUCAUUAAUGCAGCUAAAUUCCAUUCAUCAACCUAGUCAGCCUAACAGUCCAAUCUCAUGACAAUUAAGCUACUAACUUGCAUCACUAAUUCAAUAACAGUCAAACUAUCUAACUUGUAGUGCAAUAUUAUAACAACAAUGCAAAUUCACUUCAGUUCAAAAAGGACUAAUCAACUAACCAUAACUAAGGUUCAACAUCAAAACCAACUGACAUCAUACAUAUAUAGCAUAACAUUCAAUCCAAAGCACCCGCAUACUUAAUCAUAAACAACAAUUCAUUUCAGAACACAGUUCAAGCCUAUUUAAAUUCAGCUUAGGACAAAACACCAUUCAGUUCUAGCUCAUUUUUGCAAUCAAAAUCCUCUCAUAAGUCCAGCCACUUAAGCCAUUUAACCUAAUUCUAGCUCAGAACUUACUAACAGUUCAACUUUCUAAUACUCCCUAACAUUCAGUUCAUAACUUUUUUUGCAUUGACAAAGUAAAAUCAACUAACUUCUAAAAUUCCGCACUAACAAACUAACUCAAUGCUAACAGUCACCAAGUUCAAAUUUCAAUACUAACUCUAACUGAUAACCAACUAAUUCAAACGGUUUCACAAUUAGAUUAACAUUCCAAAUAGUUUCCAAUUUCACAAUUGUAAUCAACUACAAAUAAUAGCUUUAACAAAUCACUCUCAACCUUACUAAUUGAACUCGACUCUUAACUCUAACUAGUUCAAACUUAACUAACUCAACCGCAACUAACAGAAUCAUAACACUGUUAAAAUUCCUAGCAGACUUUCCUUUCAAUUUCACUAAUAAUUAACCCUACCCUAACCAUGCUAACAGACUUGACCAACCUACCCUAACCACGUUUGAACAAAAUGAAAAAUGAGAUGGAGAUUCUAAACCCUCCUGUCUUAC